GAUGAACGCUAGCGAUAGGCUUAACACAUGCAAGUCGAGGGGCAGCAUGGUCUUAGCUUGCUAAGGCUGAUGGCGACCGGCGCACGGGUGCGUAACGCGUAUGCAACUUGCCUCACAGAGGGGGAUAACCCGUCGAAAGACGGACUAAUACCGCGUACACUCUAUGUUGGGCAUCCAAUGUAGAGGAAAUGAAAUUCGCUGUGAGAUAGGCAUGCGUCCCAUUAGCUAGUUGGUGAGGUAACGGCUCACCAAGGCGACGAUGGGUAGGGGAACUGAGAGGUUGAACCCCCACACUGGUACUGAGACACGGACCAGACUCCUACGGGAGGCAGCAGUGAGGAAUAUUGGUCAAUGGGCGAGAGCCUGAACCAGCCAAGUCGCGUGAAGGAUGACUGUCUUAUGGAUUGUAAACUUCUUUUAUACGGGAAUAACAAGAGUCACGUGUGGCUCCCUGCAUGUACCGUAUGAAUAAGCAUCGGCUAACUCCGCG
rnacentral:rRNA from 1 species